UGGGGAAUAUUGGGCAAUGGGGGCAACCCUGACCCAGCGACGCCGCGUGAGGGAAGAAGGCCUUCGGGUUGUAAACCUCUUUUGUAUGGGAAGAAGGACGUGACGGUACCAUACGAAUAAGUCCCGGCUAACUACGUGCCAGCAGCCGCGGUAAUACGUAGGGGACGAGCGUUGUCCGGAAUUACUGGGCGUAAAGGGCGCGCAGGCUGUUUGACAAGUCAGCUGUUAAAUAUGGGGGCUUAACCCUUAUAUGCGGUUGAAACUAUCAGACUGGAGUGCUGUAGAGGCAAGUGGAAUUCCCAGUGUAGCGGUGAAAUGCGUAGAUAUUGGGAAGAACACCGGUGGCGAAGGCGACUUGCUGGGCAGCAACUGACGCUGAGGCGCGAAAGCCAGGGGAGCAAACG
rnacentral:rRNA from 1 species